CCCUUAGAUGUUCGGGGCCGCACGCGCGCUACACUGAAGGAAUCAGCACGUCUUUCUCCUUGUCCGAAAGGACUGGGUAACCCGCUGAACCUCCUUCGUGCUAGGGAUUGGGGCUUGUAAUUCUUCCCCAUGAACGAGGAAUUCCCAGUAAGCGCGAGUCAUAAGCUCGCGUUGAUUACGUCCCUGCCCUUUGUACACACCGCCCGUCGCUACUACCGAUUGGAUGGUUUGGUGAGAUCCUCGGAUUGGUCCCGGCGCGGCCUCUGGUCGUGCCGGAGUGCCGAAAAGAAUGUCGAACUUGAUCAUCUAGAGGAAGUAAAAGUCGUAACA
rnacentral:rRNA from 1 species